GACGAACGCUGGCGGCGUGCUUAACACAUGCAAGUCGAACGGAAAGGCCCUGCUUUUGUGGGGUGCUCGAGUGGCGAACGGGUGAGUAACACGUGAGUAACCUGCCCUUGACUUUGGGAUAACUUCAGGCAACUGGGGCUAAUACCGGAUAGGAGCUCCUGCUGCUUGGUGGGGGUUGGAAAGUUUCGGCGGUUGGUGAUGGACUCUCGGCUUAUCAGCUUGUUGGUUGGGUAGUGGCUUACCAAGGCUUUGACGGGUAGCCGGCCUGGGAGGGUGACCGGCCACAUUGGGACUGAGAUACGACCCAGACUCCUACGGGACGCAGCAGUGGAGAAUAGUACACAAUGGGCUGAAGCCUGAUGCAGCAACGCCGCGUGCGGGAUGACAGCCUUCGGGUUGUGAACCACUGUCGCCUGUGACGAAACGUGAGUGACAGUAAUGGGUAAAGAAGCACCGGCUAACUACGUG
rnacentral:rRNA from 1 species